rnacentral:rRNA from 1 species
GCAGUAGCCGCGGGAAUACGUAGGUGGCAAGCGUUGUCCGGAAUUAUUGGGCGUAAAGGGCUCGCAGGCGGUUUCUUAAGUCUGAUGUGAAAGCCCCCGGCUCAACCGGGGAGGGUCAUUGGAAACUGGGAAACUUGAGUGCAGAAGAGGAGAGUGGAAUUCCACGUGUAGCGGUGAAAUGCGUAGAGAUGUGGAGGAACACCAGUGGCGAAGGCGACUCUCUGGUCUGUAACUGACGCUGAGGAGCGAAAGCGUGGGGAGCGAACAGGAUUAGAGACCCGUGUAGUCCCUGUCUCUUAUAU